rnacentral:rRNA from 1 species
GUAACGAAUAUUGGGCAAUGGGCGCAAGCCUGACCCAGCAAUGCCGCGUGGAGGACGAAGCCCUUCGGGGUGUAAACUCCUGUCAGGGGUUACCAAGAAAGUGAGGAGCCCCAGAGGAAGAGACGGCUAACUCUGUGCCAGCAGCCGCGGUAAUACAGAGGUCUCGAGCGUUAAUCGGAGUCACUGGGCUUAAAGGGUGCGUAGGCCGGCCUGUAAGUGCUUUGUGAAAUCCCAUGGCUCAACCAUGGAAUUGCUUGGCAUACUGCAGGCCUUGAGGUCGGUAGGGGCAGCCGGAACUCUAGGUGGAGCGGUGAAAUGCGUAGAUAUCUAGAGGAACGCCGAAGGUGAAGACAGGCUGCUGGGCCGAUUCUGACGCUGAGGCACGAAAGCGUGGGGAGCAAACGGGAUUAGAAACCCCAGUAGUCC